AAGAAAUAAUUUUGAAAUAUUUCGUGUAGUGGAGAAUUUUACCCUGCGCGUGACCAAAUAUAAAAAAAAAAAUCAUGUGAGGGCUUAAGUAAUAAUCUACAAAAGCGCAAGGUUGAUCACAAUUCAAAUAGGACUCAAUUUACGGUACUUAUCCAUUUUUAAAUGAGGGAAUCAAUUUACUGAUUUUGAAUAACGAUAAAUACGUUUUUGGGACUCAAUUUACCUACGCCCAAGAUUAUUUUUGCGCGAAACAUAAUAAUAUGUAAUGAUAUUUAAUAAGUGAUUAUGAUAAAUUGAUAACCUAACGGCUAUUCCAAAAUGAAUGUAUCAUCCACCUUGGACGGUUCGGUUUCGGUUUCGGUACCGUUACUUAUCGUUACGAGUGCGUUCGGCUUGGCGUUCGAUAGCCCUCGGAAGUGUUCAGACUACAACCAUGACGUCACGGAAUCUAAGCACUACGUCAUCGAUCCGCGCUCACAAAACGUUUACAGGAAAUAGGUAGUGCGGUAAUUAAUGCGUCAGCGCUUUGGAGUGUAGACGAACGAAAUAAAGCGUUUAUACUACAACGUUAACACUGAUAACAAAUAAUGAUGGUAACAAAUUUUAAAUUUUAAAACUAUUUUUAAAGAAUAUUGUUCAUUAUAAUACUUAUUAUUCAUUUUUAGUAUUUUUGUUUAAUUACUUUUAUAAAUAAUUAUUCAGUUACACAUGUUUUGAAAGGCCGUAAUAUUUACGAUUUCGUCAAAAUAUGAUGCUAAAACUCCUAUAAA